CGGGGUGAGUAAUGUCUGGGAAACUGCCUGAUGGAGGGGGAUAACUGCUGGAAACGGUAGCUAAUACCGCAUAACGUCGCAAGACCAAAGAGGGGGGCCGUUCGGGCCUCUUGCCAUCGGAUGUGCCCAGAUGGGAUUAGCUAGUAGGUGGGGUAACGGCUCACCUAGGCGACGAUCCCUAGCUGGUCUGAGAGGAUGACCAGCCACACUGGAACUGAGACACGGUCCAG
rnacentral:rRNA from 1 species